CUCUUUAAUGUUGAUAUUAAAAAUUAUAUCGAAUUUCAUUUGUUUAUAAAAUAGUUGAAAUUGCAUUGACAAUAUUUGUAACCAAAAUUCUAAAGAAUUUUAAGUGCAUUUCCGUUUUGCUUCAAGUAUGUUUUUACGAUCGAAAUUCUUAAGAGGCGUUGCACUUAUUAAUUUUGCUGAUAAGAAUUCUUUAGAAUUUUAAUUGUAUUUUGCUUUCUGUUUUUACUAUUGAUUUCGUAUUUAAGAUUAAGAACUUUUGUAAACUAAGUUAGUCAGUUAGUCAGUUAGUUUGAUUCAAUAAAGCAAGAGCUACAUACUCUUGGAAGAAAUAUUUUAAUUAAUGUUUUAAUUGUUAACAGUAGAAAUAGGUGACGAUAUGUAUGUUUCAGCUACUGUUAUGUCAUUUGGAUAUCUUGAUGUUUUAAAGUUGAGAAUUUUUUCGUAGCUUGGCAAUAUAUUGCAAGACACUUCACUAUUCACAAAUUCACGAAUGAGCAAGUAUUGGUGUUUCGUUAUUCCAGUGUCCAUUAAAAGCGAUAAAACCUUUUCACUAUUUGCUUCGGUUGACUUCAGGAUCGGUGGAAAAUCGGAUGAGCGCAAAACAGAAGCUGCAGACUCAUCUUGUUUUUCUAUCAGCAUUAUCCGACGACGUUUCGUUCUUUUUGAGGACACAGCAAAAUCAAUUUUAUGACGUCCGCGUGCAGCACUUGAAAAACUUUGUUCAGGAACACAAGCAGGCUCAAUUAUAAUUGUUUCGACAGUGUUCAACCAAGGGGAUUGAUAUCGAACAAUUGAAAUCUUACAACGAUUGUAUUUAGUUCAAUAAGCAAUAAUUUUUUUGCAAAUGUAACCAAUACAAAUGUUAAGUUUUCUCAUCUCUA